rnacentral:rRNA from 1 species
CACGUAGGGGGCAAGCGUUGUCCGGAUUUAUUGGGCGUAAAGAGCUCGUAGGUGGUUCGAUAAGUCGGGUGUGAAACCUCCAGGCUCAACCUGGAGACGCCACCCGAUACUGUCGUGACUAGAGUCCAGUAGGGGAGCGUGGAAUUCCUGGUGUAGCGGUGAAAUGCGCAGAUAUCAGGAGGAACACCAGCGGCGAAGGCAGCUCGCUGGGACGGUACUGACGCUGAGACGCGAAAGCGUGGGGAGCAAACAGG